CAAAUUUUAAAUCUACCUGGUUUCCAGGUCGAGUUGUAAUUUGAAGAAGUGUUUUUUACUUUCCGGGUUGGGUUAAAUCCUUUGGGAUAAGGUAUCAUGGAGGGUGAGAAUCCCGUGUAUACCAACCGCAGGAUYGUUUAAUAUACACUUUCUAAGAGUCGAGUUGUUUGGGAAUGCAGCUCUAAAUGGGUGGUAAAUUUCACCUAAUGCUAAAUAUAAGCGAGAGACCGAUAGCGAACAAGUACCGUGAGGGAAAGAUGAAAAGAACUUUGAAAAGAGAGUUAAAUAGUACGUGAAAUUGUUGAAAGGGAAACGGUUGAAGUCAGUCAUGCCGGCGGGAAUCAACUUAGGGGAAACUCUGAGUGCACUUCUUCGCUUGGCAGGUUAGCGUCGAUUUUGGAUGUCAUAAAAUGACUGGGGGAAGGUAGCUCUUUCGGGAGUGUUAAGCCCUURGUAGAUGUGAUGUCCGGGAUCGAGGAUUGCAACGGAUACCUUUUGGGCUAMCCGCCUAGUCUCUAAUACGAAGUUGGGUUAUGGACAGCACGCUGACUGUGAUCUGAUUUUCGGU
rnacentral:rRNA from 1 species